UUCACACAUGCAUUUAACAAUGUGAGCUCUUAGCUUCCUGUCCUGCUGCCAUACUUACUCCGCUGCUGUCAUGUCACCCUGCCACGGACACUCAUUCCUCUGUAACUUGAAUAAGCAAAGUUCUCCAUUCUGCUGUGUUUCUGGAGCCAUGACCUCAGCUACAACACUGAAUAUUUUCCUCAAGAUUGAUUUGAAUACAGAAUUAACUAUUAUACCAUACUUCCUGCCAGUGAAUCCUUAAACUGUGUCAAAUAUUGAAAGCAGUGGAGAGGGAUGAAAAGAAAAAAGAGGACACCAGAAAGAAGAGAAGGAAAGAUAGAAGAUGAAGUUGAUGAAAUGUGAGAAAAACUGGAUACCAAGAAGGAAGUUAAAAGAAAGUAAAAAAAGAAAAAUAAAAAGAAACACCACCUGUCACAUGUAUCCAACUAGUCUCACUGAAGUUUCAGUAGCUGGCAUUUCAUCUGUCAUAUGAAAACAUUUUCAAUACCGUCUACCAACACAGCACUAAAUUCUGGACUACCAUUAAUGUCAACCCAUUUAUAAUUUUGGCUUGCAGCGCUACAAAAAGGCAGAUGACAGCCCACUAUUUCACACCUGCUGCUGAAAUGAAUAAAAAUGACUGAAAUCUUUAAAACCACAAGAAAGUGGGAAGGGAAAAGAAAUAAAGCAAAGGGUGACUACACUGUAAAAACCAAUGGAAACUCCCUGCUUACCUUGAGUUUGAGGCCCAGGCCUGAGAUAAGAUGACUUCAAUAGAUCUAGUAAUAUGUAUGGAAGAGCCCACAAGGAGAAGCUGACAUGUUUGGGAAGAUUCUUGUCUAUGUCUGAUUGGUGUGAUUUACACAGCUACUUCCAACUUUGUAGCUUAUUCCCAUCAACAGGAUUGUCCAUUGCCCAAAUAAAUAAAUAACUUUCUCAAUA